rnacentral:pre_miRNA from 1 species
AUGACUGUCUUUAAGUAGGGACAGGUUACUCUAAAAGAAGUAAGUCCUAGAUAGCUUUCACUUCAAUUUAAAU